AUUGGUUGACGGGUCAGACCGACGUGCGAGGAAUCCUUCGAACGAAGGCGUCACCCCUAGGUCGAAAGCCUAAGUGACUAGGCACAGUGAGACGCACGUGGAGGAUUAUCGUGCAACAACAUCACACGUCACCGGCGAACCGGUACAAUCGGUAAGAGCACGUGCAGAGGAGGCGCCGCCAUACGGUGAAUAGCGUAAGCUUAGUCCAACCCACUUGGUUACGCCGUCAACGCUACCCACUGCAGUAGAUCUCGAUCCCACCAACAGAGGGCUACCGCAAGACGACGUAAAGUUAAGGACAACGCUCGUCAGACCCUGAAUGACCGUCAAGUCGAUGCAUCAUUGGAGAUCUUGCAGCCACGUGGUGCGCUGCCGCAUGCCGGGUUCCUGUUGGGCAAGUAAUGAUUGAAAAACCAAAAACUAUGUACAAAACUAACCCUUAGCAAGUAAGACCAAAUUUUGUAAAGAAGCGCAUGAAGUGAAGUCAAGAGAGGAGGUGCAAUGAAGCAUAAUAAAACCAUUGCAAGAUGAGAUAGGAAAA